ACUACUGAGCAGCAGCAAUUCCAGCAGUCUCAGGUGUCUUUAUAUCCCCAGAACUGAGUUAUUAAGCAGGAAGAAGCAGGAAUCCCAGGCAAGCAGCUAUCCUUGUCAAGUUGAAGUGCAGGUUGAAGUGCUGACCGUCCUCUUGAUGUCUGUCCUGAUGUUUCAUCUCCCUCAGAAAAAACUGAGGAGCUCUUCAGAAUCUACAGAUACCAUAGAGACAGCCUAUACAAUCUAGGACCAUGGCCACCCCUUCAUUCCAGUAAAUAAAACAGUUUUGAAGAUCUUUGAAAAUUAGAAGCAUUUUAUAAUCUGAUGACAGUUUUGCACUCCACAGGAAAUUGCUUGUUAAUGGAUAUUUGGAUGUUAAGAACUUUCAAAAGGUCAAGUUUCAUUACACCGGAUGUGUUAAACUUGUGAAGGAAACAAAGAGAAAAGGAUAAAAAAAAUCAGCUUGUGGGACAUUGAAGAAAGAUCAAGAUUCUUAAAAGUAAACAGAAAGAAUAAAAAGUGGUGAUUCUGAAAGUGCUGUAUGACCUCAUCAUGUGUGCAGAAUUAUCAGAUACAGAAGAAUUCUUCAGAUUUACAGUAAAGGUGUAAACUGUGA